GUGCUCCCUUCUGUAGCCCACAUACUAAAAUUGGAAUGAUAUAGAGAAGAUUAGCCUCACCCCUGCGCCAGGCUGACUCAGAAUUUGUGAAGUGGUUCAUGUUUGA